UUUUUUAAUUGAAAACUUGUAUGAAUGGUUGAACGAAAUUUUAACUGUAUCAUAAAAACAAUAAUUGAAGUUAACUUUUAAGUUAAAAGGCUUAAAUUUUACUAUAGGACGAGAAGACCCUAUAGAGUUUAAUAAUAGUAAUUUUAUUAUUUGUAAAAAAUUAUUAAAAUUUUAAUAUUUAUAUUAUUUUGUUGGGGUGACAAUAAAAUUUAAUUAACUUUUAUUAUUUAUUUACAUUGAUUUAUGAUUAAAUGAUCUAUUUUUAUUGAUUAAAAAAUUAAAUUACCUUAGGGAUAACAGCGUAAUUUUUUUUUAAAGUUCAUAUUAAUAAAAAAGUUUGC
rnacentral:rRNA from 1 species